UGCCGGUGACAAACCGGAGGAAGGNGGGGANGACGUCAAGUCCUCNNGGCCCUUAUGGGUAGGGCUACACACGUCAUACAAUGGCUGGUACAAAGGGNUUGCCAACCCGCGAGGGGGAGCUAAUCCCAUAAAGCCAGUCGUAGUCCGGAUCGUAGUCUGCAACUCGACUGCGUGAAGUCGGAAUCGCUAGUAAUCGUGGAUCAGAAUGUCACGGUGAAUACGUUCCCGGGUCUUGUACACACCGCCCGUCACACCAUGGGAGCGGGUCUCGCCAGAAGUAGUUAGCCUAACCGCAAGGGGGCGAU
rnacentral:rRNA from 1 species